CUAUCUGUUCUAUCUGCCGUUUGGACCAACACAAAGACCACGACACAGUCUUAGCUGCAGCAGAAAGGACUGAGAGGCAGAAAGAUCUGGAGGAGAGUCGAGAAAACAUCCAGCAGAGAAUCAAGGACAGAGAAGAAGAUGUGAAGCUUCUCCAACAGGAGGUGGAGACUAUCAACGGCUCUGCUGAUAAAGCUGUGGAGCACAGCCAGAAGAUCUUCACCCAGCUUAUCCGUCUCAUAGUGAAACGCCACUCUGACAUGGCGAAGCAGGUCAGAUCCCAGCAGGAACGUGAAGUGAGUCGAGUCAAAGAACUUCAGGAGAAGAUGGAACAGGAGAUCACUGAGCUGAAGAGGAAAGAUGCUGAUCUGCAGACACUCUCACUCACAGAGGACCACAACCAGUUUCUGCACAGCUACCCCUCACUGUCAGAACCGGGUCAACCUGCAGACUCAUCCAGGAUCAACAUCCGUCCUCAGAGAUACUUUGAGGAGGUGACAGCAGCUGUGUCAGAGGUUAGUGAUAAACUCCAGGAUCUUCUGACAAAGAUGUGGACAAACGUCUCACAGGCAGUGACUGAAGUGGAUGUUUUACUGUUAGAACCAGAACCCAAGACCAGAGCUGAUUUCCUAAGAUAUUCACGAAGAAUCACACUGGAUCCAAACACAGCAAACAGAUAUCUGAUAUUAUCUAAAGGAAACAGAAAAGCAACAUUAACAAGACAACGACAGUCUUAUCCUGAUCAUCCAGACAGAUUCACUUAUUAUGAUCAGGUCCUGAGUAGAGAGAGUCUGACUGGACGUUGUUACUGGGAGGUGGACUGGAGAGGGAACAGGGUAAGUGUAGCAGUCGCAUACAAGACGAUCAGCAGAGACGGGGACUCAGAUGAUUGUUUAUUUGGAGGAAAUGACAAAUCUUGGACGUUAGACUGCUCUAAAGACAUUUAUCAAUUUGUUCACAACGAAGUCCUCACUGAUGUCUCAGGUCCUCUGUCCUCCAGAGUAGGAGUGUACCUGGAUCACAGAGCAGGUAUUCUGUCCUUCUACAGCGUCUCUGAAACCAUGACUCUCCUCCACAGAGUCCAGACCACAUUCACUGAGCCGCUAUAUGCUGGACUGUUUUUCCUGUCUUUUAAGCACCGGUCUGUUGGAGCCUCUGCUAAGUUUAUUGAACCCAAAUAAAGAGAAUUUUGAGUCCAUCAGACCAAAAACAUGUAAUGAGAUCAUUGAACACUUGAAAUGUUCUGGUUUGUAAAUGUUUGUGGAUCAGUCUCACCAGAAACUUUCGGUUUAGUUCUUCAUUUCAGCUUUUUCAUUCUUUUGUAGCAAUCAAGACAACCCUGGGUGUGAAACUCACACAUUCCUCACAGGAAAGUUUCCUUAUCUGGUCCCUCGGUCGUAAAACCCUGCUCAACCAUGUUCUGAUAAAAAACUGCAUUCCUUUGAUGAAAGAAUACAAAUGACUGAUCAUGACAUCUUAUGUAUUCAGCAAUGUACUAAUCUGUCCAAUCAUGAAAUUUGUGUUAAAAUGAGAUGUUUCUCAUUGUUCUAUGUGCUCCAGAAGCUGAGUUAUCACUCUGACAGAAUAAUUCCUUUGUUCUUUAGUUUCUUUAGACCAACAGCUUUUCAGACUGUUUCCUCAACUUUUAAGAGUUACAUUUAUUGACUAUGGAUCAUAAGUUUCCUCUAAGUAACAGAAAUAGUUUAGAAAUGUUUGGUUUAUAUUUUAGUUGUUUAUUUAGUAUUUUUAACCAUUAGGUGGUUAUAAUGUCAUUGAAUAAUCUGAAUGUGAGUAUUUAGAAUCCAUUAGUAAUCACGAUGAAGUUCAUUCACAUGUAUUUACUCUUUUGUUGUUCACAGUUUCCAUGUGUUACUCUCUGUUUCAUUUCAGAGUAAUUUAGCAUGUUUAAUGUGAUACUUGAAACAUAAUGAGAAUGUUUGAUGUGAUCCUACAUUUCUUUAUAUGUGUUUAGUAUCAAAUUAUUUAUCAUGAAACCAAGCAUUCAAUGAUAUUAAUCAUAGUGAGUGAGUAUCAGAUCUGACUCUUUUACCAGCCAAAAGUAUAUGUUAGAUCAAAUAAUCAGAGAUCUGAGGUCUCCUCUGCUUGGAGACCCCACGACCCCUCCUCUUUCUCUUCACACACACACGCCAGAGACACUCCCAGUGUGAGAAGAUAAAACCAGAAAGGGGGGGGGUGCUCACGUUGCUUGUUCCCUUUGUACUCUUGUUGCCUCUCUUCUAUUUUUGCUUUUCUACUCUUAAGUUUUCGUUUAGCUUUUACUACUUAGUCUUACUUUUUCUUAGUCUUCUAAGUUUUGCGUUGAUUCACGUUGAUUUUCUUUAACAUCGUCUUCGUUCAAGUUUUGAAACUUCAACUUUUUGUGCGCAUAGCAAUUCAAGAUUAAGCCUUUGAUUGAUUUUUCUUUAAUUUCGCGAAGCCAUUUUUGAAAGUUUUCUCUGGUCAUCGAGCCUCGUUUUUCUGAGUUAUCUGCGAGAUUUCAAAGUCACCUCUGAACACAACCCAGCAGGCCCGGGUCAUCCUCUGCGCCAGAGUUUUUGAGUGAGACCAAAGAAGCAUCCAAACGAGCAUCCACAGGAUCCACAGGCGCCGGCUUUACUUCAGGCCCGAGUGCUACGACUCCUGGCCCAUCCUUCGGCUGACUUCGGCCGGUAGCCCGGACCUUCGGAACCUGCUCCAUCUUCUCCAAGGACCAGUCUUACUUAAGUAUGCAGACCUCCAGAGCUCCAAAGAGGGCUGAUGCUGUCUCAUGCGGUCAUAACUCAGAUAUCCACUUAUUCUGGUAAUCUUGGAUUCCUCCAAAUCCACAUCCAAAUUUACCUUGACACCAAAGAUAGUGUAGGUUAAUAUGUUCGAGCAUAUUCACUCACUAUCAUUAACUUUAGUGCUCCUAGCCUGACUUAGAAUCUUUAUUUGUUCACCUAUUAUUUUUUAUCCUCAUUAUCUUAUCAUUUAUUGCAUGUGUGUUGUACCAUCAUUUAUCCUGUAUUAAACAUCAUUAUUUCUAAGUUCUGGUCUUUUAGUGUUCUUCCAGAAGUGGAGUCCCUGAAAUGAGAAUCUCAGCUCAAGGUAUGAGAUUGAUUAAUUUAAGAUUUGACUUGAUGUUUGAUUUCUGAAUUAAACUUUAGUUUUCUUUAUUUUUCCACCAUUAAGGGUGGGUGGUGCCUCUUUCAACGAGUGCAUAAAUGUCAUAACUUGAGAUUAUUAAUCCUCAGACAUUUAUUAUAAAUUCAAAUCGCUACACUUUUCUAAAGAUGCUGAUUUGGUCGCAGCUUUAAGGACAGUGAUUGUGGAUAACUGAUUGUAUUUCUCAUUUUGAAAAAUCUUCAUGAAUUUUGAUAUCAACAACAUCAAGAUGAUCGUUUGUUCAAAUCACCUUCAGUUGGUGCAGAUGUUGAAGGUCUGAGACUUUAGAAAAAACUGACGUCAAAAUAUUGAAAGAAAGAUAAAAAAGGACGACCUUAUUUCCUGUCCCAAAUCCAAGCGUCUAAAGUCUUUCCAGUCGUCCCCAAAAACUCUUCAGAUGAUCUGUUUCUUUCUCUGUUUGCUGAAUAUUUGUGUUCAUGUGAUCGAUGGAUAUUUCUGUCUGCUUCUGUUGGAUCAGUGUGUUUGUAAAGACAUCUAGAAUGAGACUUUUAGCAGAUCAACAUGUUAUGAGCUUUCUAAUCACUUUUAUAAUAAUCACAUAUAUUAGUCCGACUGUUUUUCUGUUUCUGACUCAGCUCAGAUUGUGGGUGAAAACAAUAAAAAUCAUCAAGUUGAGUCACUGAAAGCACCUAACCUGUUUUUCUUUAUUUGGUCUGUUUCUGCUGGAUGUCAUGUUACAGGUCUUUCUGGGUCAUGGAUUCAUGUGGUCUGCAGGAUUUCCAUGAUGUGGUCACUCACAGGUGUUACAGGUCCUAGAUGUGGGUCCUGCAGCUGGAUCAGGUUUUCUGUAAGUAAGAGUAAUAAUCUUGAAAGAGAUUUAAGGUGUAUAUAUCAAGACAAGCAUUAUUAAAUCAUUAUUUGUUGCUCUGAGUAGUUUAAGAGUUUUGUAGCUCUGCAUUUUAUUUUGAAAGGUCCGCGGACUUCCGGUGUUACUUGUCACGACAGUUGUGUCCGAGUUUGGCAGAAGCGAACAGUCCAUUGGUAAGAAAUAACCUGCUAACAAUGUGUAGCCUCUGAAUAUAUAACGCUUUGGUGCCUAUUUCAUUGUCCUUGGAGAGAAAUAAGAGAAUGUUGAAUUAGAGAGUGUAAUUAAGUGUCCGUGGUUAGCAUUUGAUUAGCGCCGCUAGCUUCCGUUAGCAUUUUCUCUAGCUCCCUAUUAGCAUGCAAGGCUAACUCCAUUAGCAUUACAAGCUAGCGCUUAGCUGGCUGUUAUUAGCAUUUAGCUUGUAAUGUAAGCUGCUACUGUUGGUACUGUGAUACUGUGUUUAACCAGUUAGGUUCACUGUGUUUAUUGCAGUUAUACAUAAAAUGAGACCAUGAGGACCAGAAUAAAAACAUAAAAUAGGUAAGAAUAAGAAAUGUAUUAAAAAGGGGGGUUAAAAGCAGGAUACAGGGUAGUAAAUAUAAAAAGACAAUCUUAAUAAUGAUAAUAAAAUAACAAAAUAAUAUGAUCAUAAUAGUAAUGAUAAAAUAGAAUAAUAAAAAUGAGCAAGAAAAAAAACUAUCAAUAUAAGGCCUGAUAGGUUAAAUAAGAAAAGAUUAUAAGUAUAACAAAGGCUGAAAAGACAGUUAGCAAAAAUAAGAUUGCGGUAAAAGAGAAAAGACCUGUGUCACCUGUGUGGUCAAAAAAUAAAAGAAGUCCAAGAACAAAACAUUAGUUGUACCUUGAGUGUGCUUCCUGUCAAGCCUUUUCGGAGGGCUGAGUAUUUAAAAUCCGAUCAGUAUAUCGAUGUGUGUGAGUGCUGAUUGAGUUGAAGUUAAACUGCACUUUAAGUUUCAUAUCUUCUUUAACAGAUCACAACAUGACAGCAUCUUAAAACAGACUGAAUACAAACACAUAUACUGAACGCUCCUCUCUUAAGGAUUAAACAGGACAAAGCACCACCUGGCAGACAUUCUUCUGAGGGAAAGUGAACAACAUGAGAAACUGCAAAAAUAAUUUUAGAGAAUUCAGAAACAUAACAUGACACCCAAGAACAUGCAACAAAAUACAAACCUGCCUCAUUAGACACACAUACACAGAAAUAUGACACUAGUUGGAAGUGUUUCAGUGAUCCAUGAGGUGAAUAAAUGUUGGUUCAGUUGAUCUUCAGGACCGCUGCAGCUUUAAUAACCUCUGCAUGUUGGAGUUUGAGAGUCUUCCUCUUGUUCCGUUUCUUCUUCUUCUUCUUUAUUUAUCUCAAACUUUAAGAACUACAACAACAAAAAACAACUAGAAACAAAAACACCAAACAAAAUAAUAAAUAUGUACACCAAACAACUGUACAUGUCAAAGAUAAAUUAACACAACAUAUGUAUUAAGGCUGCACGAUAUUGGAAAAAAAUAAUAUUGCGAUUUUUUCAACCCUGCGAUAUAUAUUGCGAUAUUAAAAAUACAGUAUUUUCACCAGAUGACCUGAAUAGCACUUAAUGUCAUGCUGCACUGCUGAAAUCUUGAGGACAGUUAAUCUGCUCUGAUCUUACCUCUUUUUGUGAAUGUUAGUAGAACGGCUUCUGUCUGUCUCAGAGAUAUUUUUAGCUUUUAUUGUGCUGGGACGUUAUUGUGGAAACAGAUGAACACAGAAGACGUGUUUUGGUCGACAUCAUCCUUUUUUAACCGAAAUAAUUUAAGAUAACUGACUUUCCUUUUCUUUUUGGCAACAAAUCUUCAUUUUCGGUGGUUUUCGCUUGUUCGUUGUUCAUUUUGCGAUCGUUGUUGUUGUUGUUAGCGGUGCUGUACCGAGAAACGCAUGUACUCCGAGAAUUGCAUGCACCUCGCAAAACGCGCACUGCUUAUAGUAGAGUGAUUCACGGAAAUGUACAAUUUAAAACCCAUACAGUUCUUAUUUGUUGGGCUUAAUAGUCAUGAGUAAAGUUCCGAAAGUAAUUCUCAGCGGACACGCGUCUCCCUCCAUGUGCAGAACAUGUGCAGGGGUGGGUUUUCUCCUCCCUGAUUUUGAUUGACAGCUGGCAGGGUAGUCUGAUUGGCAGCUGAGAAGUGAGUCUGACUGGCAACUGAGUUAAGGACGAAGGCGAUUGGUGGAUCGCUGCACAGCACAUGCAGAGUCACAUGGAGUGUAUCUCAGUCGGUUACUCUUGAAAUUAAAUGAGUUCAUUCACCUCCAAUAUCGCAGGCUCUGCGAUGUGACUAUCGCACACACGUACAUCGCGAUGACGAUAGUCAAACGAUAUAUCGUUCAGGCCUAAUAUGUAUGUCAAAAUGUACAGUUUGGGAAGGAACAGAAUGAAGCAAAGACUUAAUCUAGUCCUGCCUCUUCCUAGCAAAUUAGAAAUUAAAAAAAAAGAAAAAAUCUAUUUUAAUAAAUUACAAAGAUCUGUAUAAAUACCUACAUUUUAUACACCAAGUGUAUAAAGUUAAAUCAAUAGUCUAAUAAACAACAAACAACUUACCUUGGUGCAGAUAAAGGUAUUCUUCGUAACGUUCCUCAGGUAACGCUGGUUAUGUGGCCGGCCACAUAACUUAUACACAGCAUGCACUUUUCCAAGGCACGCUUCGGCUUCAGAAGAGGAAUAAAAAAUGCCCCAUUCAAACGCUCUGGGUACCUAGUGUCGCUGUUGCAGGUCCCCCAGCAGCAACGUUUCACCAUGGUGGUAAUAUAAUAUGAAUCUUCUUGAUAUUAUAUUGUUAAUCAACUUCUGAAAAAGCCCUAAAUAACAUGUGAUUUAACGAGUGAUGUGGCCAUGAUGUCCGACUCUUGUUUGCUACGCUGUGAUUGGACCAUCGCAGUCUGGGGGCGGAACGUACCGAAGAGUCUAUCGGACAGAUACAUUUAUGUUCACUCCUUAGAUUAUAGCCCCCCUCCCUGGUUUUGAACAUCUUUUGUAGAUUAGCAGGUAACUUACUUUGUGUUACUUUGUACAGCACUUGAUCCGUUUUAUAAUUGACUAUGUCAUUAAAUUUUAACAUUUCUGAUUUUAGGAACAGAGGGCUGGUGUGAUCUCUGUAUCCAGCAUGAUUUAUGGUCCGGAUGACCUUUUUUUGUGUUUAUCUUUUGUAGAUUGGUCUUGUAUGUGUUUCCCCAGAUUUCAACACUGGGGAAAGGCAGGAUCAUGGAGCAGUAGAGUGUGCGUUGUGAUUUUUGUGGUAAUAAAUUAAUUUGCUGAUAGUUCCGAUACUGGUGAUUUUUUUUGGUAUCAGAAGAAGAAAGAGAGGAAAGAAAAAGAAAGAGGGGAGGCAGCUGUUGACUGCUUUCUUUCCCAAAGGUGAAUCCAGUUUGUUUGUUCUGUAAAGUCCAGUUAAAGUCAAGUAGGACUCUAAACUUCACAUCGCCGCUGCUCUCCCUGAAUUAUACAAGAGCUGAAUUUCCCCUCCCUCGUCUCUCACACAGCUCACUCCACUCUGCACACUCACUUCCUUGCUCUCUUCACUUCCUCUUUCCCUCCCCUUCAGAUCUACAGUUGUAACUAACGUGUGCUGAGCUGAUAUCCUGCUGAAACACAUGUUGUUGAGAUCAGAGCUCAGACUAGUUUCACUUCUCAGGAAAUAAAACUCAGUCAGUUGUUGUCAACAGCGAGUGUUGAAAUGGCGCAGAAGGGAGUUCUUCUGGACCGUGAGUCUUUCUCUUGUUCCAUCUGUUUGGAUCUUCUGAAGGAUCCGGUGACUGUUAACUGUGGACACAGCUUCUGCAUGAGCUGUAUUCAAUCCUACUGGGAUACUGAGGAUGAGAAGAAGAUCUACAGCUGUCCUCAGUGCAGACGGACCUUCAGACCGAGGCCUGUCCUGAUGAAAAACACCAUGUUAGCAGGUUUAGUGGAGGAAGUGAAGAAGAGUGGACUCCAAGCUGCUCCUGAUGAUCCCUCUGAGGCUGGACCUGAAGAUGUGGCCUGUGAUUCCUGCAGUGGGAGAAAACUGAAGGCUGUCAAGUCCUGUCUUCAAUGUCUGGUUUCUUACUGCCAGAUUCACCUCCAGCCUCAUUUUGAAUCACCUUCAUAUAAGAAACACAAGCUGGUGGAGCCCUCCAAGAACCUCCAGGAGAACAUCUGCUCUCGUCAUGAUGAGGUGAUGAAGAUCUUCUGCCGCACUGAUAAGAAGUCUAUCUGUCAUCUCUGCUGUUUGGACCAACACAAAGGUCACAACACAGUCUCAGCUGCGGCAGAAAGGACUGAGAGGCAGAAAGAUCUGGAGGAGAGUCGAGAAAACAUCCAGCAGAGAAUCCAGGACAGAGAAGAAGAUGUGAAGCUGCUCCAACAGGAGGUGGAGGCUAUCAACGGCUCUGCUGAUAAAGCUGUGGAGCACAGCCAGGAGAUCUUCAGCCAGCUGAUCCGUCUGAUGGAGAAACGCCGCUCUGACGUGGAGCAGCAGGUCAGAUCCCAGCAGGAACGUGAAGUGAGUCGAGUCAAAGAACUUCAGGAGAAACUGGAGCAGGAGAUCACUGAGCUGAAGAGGAAAGAUGCUGAUCUGCAGAAGCUCUCACUCACAGAGGACCACAACCAGUUUCUGCACAGCUACCCCUCACUGUCAGAACCGGGUCAACCUGCAGA
rnacentral:lncRNA from 1 species